rnacentral:rRNA from 1 species
GACGAACGCUGGCGGCGUGCCUAAUACAUGCAAGUAGAACGCUGAAGCUUGGUGCUUGCCCCGAGCGGAUGAGUUGCGAACGGGUGAGUAACGCGUAGGUAACCUGCCUGGUAGCGGGGGAUAACUAUUGGAAACGAUAGCUAAUACCGCAUAACAGUAGAUAUCGCAUGAUAGCUACUUGAAAGGUGCAAAUGCACCACUACCAGAUGGACCUGCGUUGUAUUAGCUAGUUGGUGAGGUAACGGCUCACCAAGGCAACGAUACAUAGCCGACCUGAGAGGGUGAUCGGCCACACUGGGACUGAGACACGGCCCAGACUCCUACGGGAGGCAGCAGUAGGGAAUCUUCGGCAAUGGACGGAAGUCUGACCGAGCAACGCCGCGUGAGUGAAGAAGGUUUUCGGAUCGUAAAGCUCUGUUGUAAGAGAAGAACGAGUGUGAGAGUGGAAAGUUCACACUGUGACGGUAGCUUACCAGAAAGGGACGGCUAACUACGUG